rnacentral:rRNA from 1 species
GGGCACGACACCGGAGAGGGAGCCUGAGAAACGGCUACCACAUCCAAGGAUGGCAGCAGGCGCGCAAAUUACCCAAUCCCGACACGGGGAGGUAGUGACAAUAAAUAACAAUACGGGGUUCUUUCGGAUCUCGUAAUUGGAAUGAGUACAAUUUAAAUCUCUUAACGAGGAACAAUUGGAGGGCAAGUCUGGUGCCAGCAGCCGCGGUAAUUCCAGCUCCAAUAGCGUAUAUUAAAGUUGUUGCAGUUAAAAAGCUCGUAGUUGAAUUUCGGGGUUAGUAGGUUGGUCAUGCCUCUGGUAUGUACUGGUCUCACUGAUUCCUCCUUCCUGAUGAACCGUAAUGCCAUUAAUUUGGUGUUGCGGGGAAUUUGGACUGUUACUUUGAAAAAAUUAGAGUGUUUAAAGCAAGCUAACGCUUGAAUACAUUAGCAUGGAAUAAUGAAAUAGGACGUUCGAUCCUAUUUUGUUGGUUUCUAGGAUUGACGUAAUGAUUAAUAGGGAUAGUUGGGGGCAUUAGUAUUCAAUUGUCAGAGGUGAAAUUCUUGGAUUUAUUGAAGACUAACUACUGCGAAAGCAUUUGCCAAGGAUGUUUUCAUUAAUCAAGAACGAAAGUUAGGGGAUCGAAGACGAUCAGAUACCGUC